rnacentral:rRNA from 1 species
UACAGAGGUGGCAAGCGUUGUUCGGAAUUACUGGGCGUAAAGGGCGCGUAGGCGGCCCCGUCAAGUCCCGUGUGAAAGCCCCCCGGCUCAACCCGGGGGAACGGCGCGGGAAACUAGCAGGCUUGAGUUCGGGAGAGGGAAGCGGAAUUCCGGGUGUAGCGGUGAAAUGCGCAGAUAUCCGGAGGAACACCGGUGGCGAAGGCGGCUUCCUGGACCGACACUGACGCUGAGGCGCGAAAGCUAGGGGAGCAAACGGG